CUGGGGGGGGGGGGGGUUUGUCCCUCAGCCAGGAUUGCAAGAGGGGACAGGCCAGGCUGAGGGACCCCACCAGUUCACA
rnacentral:pre_miRNA from 1 species